UACGGGGGGGGUAAGCGUUGUUCGGAAUUACUGGGCGUAAAGGGCUCGUAGGCGGCCAACUAAGUCAGACGUGAAAUCCCUCAGCUUAACUGGGGAACUGCGUCUGAUACUGGAUGGCUUGGAUCCGGGAGAGGGAUGCGGAAUUCCAGGUGUAGCGGUGAAAUGCGUAGAUAUCUGGAGGAACACCGGUGGCGAAGGCGGCAUCCUGGACUGGUCCUGACACUCAGGAGCGAAAGCGUGGGGAGCGAUCCGG
rnacentral:rRNA from 1 species